AGAGCUCAGGCCAGAGCUAUAUAAACCCUGGUCUGAGCUGGUCAAGGGUGGCUGGCUGAGAGGGUGGACUCCUGAGAACUCUCAGAGAAGCUGUGGCAGCUCUUUAAGGGAGAGCAGCAGAUGGUGGGAUGCAAAGACAGAGCCACAGAACUGUUCCCGGAGUGGUUACCUUCACCCCCUGAGGCUGGACUCACUGGACAAGCAACUUCCUCAUCUCCUGCACUGAUUCUUCUCAUUUGAGAACAUCCUUCGCUGGUUCUCUCCAGUAGUGAGAAGAUAAACCAAGUACAAUGGAUUGAUGACCUAUUGGAUGCAACGCAACCUUUCUCCCCCACCCCACCCCCAUCUCAAACCACACUGUUGUAUUUAUUAUAAACUUACCAGGAAGAUCAUUGUCAUGUUAUAUAUUGUAUGAGUGGGGAAUGGUACCUGCUUGUCUUAUCACUUUUCAGCCCUGACCACUGAAUUUAUUUUGGGGGAUUUAUUGUAGCUAAAAGGAAUGGAAAAAUCAAACAUGAGACACCACCUGAGUAACAAUGAAAAGUAGGAGGAUUUUAAUUAACCUGUUCAAGUGACCAGCUCUGCUUCCUAUGGCUGUACACACAAAUGCUUUUAAUGGGGUAUUUGAUGAGGAGGGGGCAUGUAGGUGCUCACUGAGAGAGUGGAAGAGAAAAUGCUUUCACAGAUCCCCCAGGUUUAUGCUGGUCUCUGCUAACAAGGCAUGGGAGAAGUUUAAUUGGAUUCAGCAAACUUUGGAACUGCUGGGCCUGGCUCUUCAAAAGGAGCCAUCCAGCGAGUUUUUAUUUCCUAGAGGCAGAGUGGAGCCUGGCACAUCUGAUGACGCCUGAUAGAGUUAUCAAGCCAUGGCAUAAACGAGAACUCUGGAGACCCGCUACCUUGCAGAAUGAGCCAAGAAACAGCUGAGAGGGAUUACUCAGCAGGAAACUGAUGAGAAGCAGUCAGACAAUGCUGUGGAAAAAAUCUGACAAGGGAGGGGUCAGCAGUGGACAAUUUCCAGCAGGGGGAAAAGUAUCAGAGCCACAGCUGCCUUUUCCUGUGCUGUUGGCAUGAUAGGCAGGACUGUGCCCAGCUGUAUCUUUUAUUGUAGAGCAGAUGCUUGGCCUGACAAUGAGGAUUUCUCACUAGAAUACAUCCUCUUUUUACCUCCUCAGCUUCUGAACUAUAUUUGAGAUGUACCCACAGCAUCUGGAAACACUGUAGCUGUUUCCCUGGCAAGAGGGAAAAAUCGCAUAAUUGGCUGGGUUCUUGGGGCAGCUCAAGGCUGGAACCAGCUUUCUGGCAAAGCACGUUGGAUGAAGAGUGGACUGUGCAUAUGUGGCUAUGAGAGAUAGUUAGCCAUGUUGCUCUAAAGCCAGGCAGAAGUCAGGGUAGACUUACACCUUUAUAAACUAACCUAAAUGGGAUCUAUAUAGAGCAUAAGCUUUCAUGAACUCAAGUUCAUUUCAUCAGAGUGGAGUAUGAAGUGGAGUGAGUAAUAUGAAUACAAAAGGGGAGAGGCACAGUGCUGUGAGAAGCAACGAACCCAUAGGAACAAAAGGUGUCACAAAAGCCAGUCCAGAUAAUGGGAUAGGAAUCUAUUGUCCCUGUUUAAACCAGGCACAACACAAGCCAGUCUGUGGCUGAUUUCUUGUUCUGCCAUUUCCCGUUCAAGCCAGUUUUUAAAUGUUUGCUGCCUGCAAACAGCAAUCCUGAGGCCAGCAAUGGAAGCAAGGCUUGCAACCAGGAGUGUUACUGAGUGGGCAGUGACAGGAGCAGCAAUCCUGGGUGCUUUCUUUGUGGGGGUGGGAGGGUGUAAAAACCACCAUUGCCACAGGGGCAGCUGAUCAAACUACCAUGCUUGGCAUGCCAGGAGCUGGUGCUGCCCCAGGCAUUAUGCAGCUGUACUGUCACACCUCUGCUUCCAGCAACACAUUUUGAAGAACAGCACAAGGUGACUUUGGUAGGAAUUCAGCCUGAUGAGAAAUCAAAACAGACCUGAAUAGAAUAUACGCGGAGGUUCCUCAGGAAAUGCCAUUUGUAGUUGCACAGCUCUUGUCUUGGUUUAAAGUAGGCACACAUAAAAGGUGCUGAAGUGACCUGAUGGCCAAUAUUCUUCUGGACUGAGAAGACAGGAAGGCUCCUGUCCCCACAUAUAGUUCAUCUGAAGGUAACAUCCUACCAACAUCCAUACUCAAGGCUGUUAGAAAUCAUAGCAUCUUAGAAAAUUAGGGUUGGAAGAAACCUCAGGAGAUCAUCUAAUCCAACCCUCUGCUCAAAGCAGGAAAGCUGUGGUUCAGCUCAACACACUGAGGCUGCCAGACCUCCAUUUAGUCUUAGGAUUUGGCCCUGGGGAGAAGGCAGGGCUCCUAGUGGGAUAUGCCAACCCUGGUUGAGAGGAAACUCUGUCCUCCUCACAUUUCAGAAUGGUAGUUUCUGAACACAGAGAGGCAGCCAUCCGGUGGGCAAGGAACUUGCAAGAUGACAUUUUCAGAGAAGCAGAACCACAGCUACAAAAAUUCCCUUCCUCCAUCCCUGCAACUUUCUCAGUCCUGGAGAGCUCAAAGUUCAAGAGACAUCCCAGAAGAAAAUGAAAAUAGAGCUGUUUUGUGCUGCAGCAGCCAUCUCCUGGCCAACAGCUUGCUUUUGCUUUCAAGCAGGGAGGCUCAGAGAGAAAGCAUCACUAAGGAGUCCCUCCAACACUUUUCAUCAGAUUCCUUAUACUGAAGGAUUGAGGCCAUAACCAGAUAAGCAGGGCUGCUGGCAGGAAAUAAAUAAGGACCCUAAGCUUUGAGUCUCUCUUGCCAAGAACUCAGAGUUGUAAAAAGAUGUGAAGGUGGCUCACUCCUCAAUAGGUGGCAAACCGUGUGCAGUAGCUCUUUGCUUAGGUGCGUGGCAAUGAGAGCCCACUCUUUUCUAGUGUCCCUUGGUGGAGAAAGGUCUGGAUCACUUCUCCGUGACCCAGCACUCAGGAAGACAUAACAUAGAUGGUCCCCCUCCUCCUCUGCCUCAUCCGUGAGGAUGACAGUCCAUAUAGGACCUACUCACACAUCAGGGGUCCCUAGAAAAGUGGCCAGGGUGUUUAGUCAAUGUGAACCAGGAGCCAUGGGUCACCAUGUCUCUUAAGGUCCUACAUACAUACAGUGCUACCAUCAUCUCUAGAAUACUGGUGGCCAGCAUAGUCCCAAAACAAGUCAAAUUCUCUGAGAGCUUGAUUUUCAAAUACUGAAGCUUGCAGGUAGGUCUCCAACUCUUUAUUUCAGUGCCUAAGUCAGUGGCCUGAUUUUUCAGAAGGGCUGAGCCCCCCUCCCCACCUACUCCCACAGGGGUAAACUCAGACUAAAACCCUGACAAUGUGAGAGAGAGUGUGGUGACGUUCCCCAGCAAUUAAUCCUGUUCCCUCAUAUUUUACUGUUGACAAUGUGUCCCAGCAGCCUGGCUGACAAACUAAAAAUAAUUUGGAUAGGGGUAUGGCACACUGAAACUGCAGAUUUGGCACUGUGACAAACCAUCUGGGUCUCUGAAUCCAGACUACGUGGUUAUGCAAUUUCCAGUCAGAAGCUCACCAAGGUUGCACUCGCAGCAUCAUUCAUCCUAGAACAUUUUUUUUGCUUUGCAAUACCUUAUGAAACCAAUAUAACCUGGACAAUGCAUUUCACUACAGACUAGACAUCUAAAUGGAUCAAAGUCAAAAACUCUUGGCACAGAGUAACAGCUUGGAGAUGCGCUCUGCAACCGACCUACUAAAAACAGUCAGCGCUUGCUGGCAACACACACAAUCCAUUUAGUCAGGAAGGAAAAAGAGGAGAUACAUAAUAUGUCAUGAUCCAGUCAGCUCCCUGGAAGAACAUAGUAGGGGGUUAAUUGUCUUUCAGAAGAAAAAGGGAUACACCUAUUUAAGGCUGAACAACUCUUUAGCUACUGCCUUACCUGCUCUGCCAUUUUUAAUGCUACAGGUCUGAUCAAGGAGAGCUUUAACAUCAUCACACACAGGUGAUAGUAUAUAAGCAGGUCACAAGGUAACAGAGACCCAGCUCAUAAUGAGAGGGGGCCCCAAGCACAAGCUGCCUUAAAUACAAAGGCUCAGUAUAUCACUGCUGAAGUCAAUAGCCUGAGUGAUUUAUAGCAGUUAAGGACCUAAUCUAAGCAUCUCCUAUAAGAGGAGAGUCCUAACUGGGGCUGCACCUGGGUCAAAGUCUUCAAAAAUACCUCAGGGAAUCAGGCACAAGUGGGUUGGGGGUAAAAAAAAAAAAAAUCAA